CUUUUUAUGUCUCUAGAUUGGCUAAGUAUCAUUUGCAGCCUGGGGCGAGGUGAAAGAACUCACUUUCACUUUUUGAAAGAACUUCUUUCAAAAGUCUUUGAUGGAGAUUCACUGUGUAAAACAUUUCCCUUGGGUUGUUCACCUUUACCAGCCAGGUGAGAAUCACCACCUGGUGCUGCAGCACACAAUAACAAACGGAACAAAUUCGGAACAGGAGCAAUUCCCCGAUAACAUUCUCUACACCAGCAGUUGCAGAAUGCACAAAAUGCUCCAGUUCAAAGCCGUUGCUGUAAAUCUGCUGCCGUGCCAGGCGAUGGCAGUGCUGAUGGCUCCCGAGGUAAGCUCUCCCUGCAGCUCUGGUUGCAAUGCUUGUCUCCACUGGAGUUCUGCGAGGAGCUGGCAGUGCUGCUGCACGUGUGCUCUAAUACAAACUACAGUUAUUUGUCAUCUAUUUGUUCCCCUUUCCUUACUAUCAGGCCCUGAAAGUCCUGUGAACCAAGUCAACCAAACAUAUUUCUUCUUCCCCUCCCUGCUGGCCUCAAGAUUCCUGGGCUCUAGGCCGAUUGCUCUCUUCCUUGCUGGCCUCGAAGGUCCCAGGCACCCGGCCAGCCCUGUUAAUGAUCCCACCACUGAACAGGGAGGUGUAACAGCACCCAGAGCACUGGCUAUAAAGUCAUGGAGUUAGAAAUCCUAAGUGGAGAAUUCGGACCCAGACUGGUGCUGAACAGUGAGACCCAUGACCACCCUGUGGCCACAGUUGCCUCCUCCAUCCUCUGCUUCCUCAGGAUUGAAUGAGUGACUUAUUCUAUUACAUGAUGUCCAAGUAUGCUUAGGUUUAUACCCAGGCAGUGCAGGGCCCAUCCUCCUGCUCUCAGCAACAGGACAGCCAUUUCAUGGGUGGAAACUGCUGCUGCUCUUCCCUUGCAAGGGUGUUCUGUGUACACAUGGAGUAGCCUGUGUUCCCAAGAAACAAGCCCACGAGAAUCCAGCUGCUGGAGUGGCACAUUGGGUUAUCAGCUACAAGAAUUACGAAUUGAGAGUGGCAGUGACUCGUCUGCACAACCUCAGAUAUGGGGAUACCUGAGCCUGUUUUUGAAGAGACUCUUCCUCCAUGGCAUCACCAAAGGCAAACUUGAAAAAAUGGGAAGUAUUUUGGCCUCCAUAUUUAAUGUCCUUCCAUCACCUAAUGUGUCAUAGCAGGAAAAUGUUUGCUGUAUCUCUCUUUAUCUUACAGCUUCUGUUGCCCACUGCUUACUAUCAAUGGAGGAGUCGUGGUAGAAAAUCCGGAUAGAAACUUCUGCCCCAGAAACCAACAUGAGGUGUUUGCUUUGCCCUGG